UCUUCCCUGAGGCAGGGAAGGGGCGGGCUGGGCUUCGGUGGGGAGAGGCCAGGAGUCCUGUGCUAAUGAGACUCCUUUCACCCGGAAGGACACAACAGAUGUGCAGAGAAAGGGCUUGGCUCCUGACAACGAAGGUUAAAACAGAAUUUCUGGUAAAAACGUCCUGUCUCUUCACUACAAUAACAAACAGGUUAGCCCUGCUUUCUAGAAAGGACAGAGCAGACUGCUGAAUCUUCAAGCAAAGAGAGGCCAGCUGUUCAAUGGAUCAAAAUGAUAGAAAUUCU
rnacentral:lncRNA from 1 species